rnacentral:lncRNA from 1 species
CCUCGAUGGAACCCAAUCGAUAUAACCGUUAGGGUGACCGGGGAGGAAUCACCCUGGAUGGUUCGCGCUUGUGGGGUUGCACGACAUAGUCGUUAUCAUAAGUGGUGAAGGAGGAAUCACCCUCCAUAAUCCACCUCCAGUUAACUACACUACAGAGUUAACAUUAGAAGUACAUUAUGAGGUAUCACCCUCUGUGCUUGAUAGUAGCUCUGCAGGGUCAUACAAUAGGGGGUGUGAAGUGAUGUGACGGGUCAUGGCUUGUCGAUUGGUUGAUUGAAUCUUCGGGCCUCCGUGUCUUCAUGUCGUCGAGUCUUCGAUGAUCAAGCAGCGGCAACUGGGACUAAGGGGUCACUCGGGAUCCCUAAUCCACCUAUAUUAAUCAUUUGAUAUGUAGUAGGGGACAAUAGUAGUUUAACAAAAACAGGUUAUGCAUCAGAAUAGGAGCUAUCUACAACAGUAGCACAAUCAAAUGCAAGCAUGAGGGAGAAAAUGAGCAAAAUAGGAAUGAUCAAGGGGGGUUUGCUUUCCUUGUUUCUCUGCUGCAAAAGGCUGGUCGUUAGGGGGGUACUCGUACCCGGCAACAACGUGAGCUUUAACGUCUACCGGAGAGAAGAGGGGGGACAAACAAUAAAUAAAAGCAAGCAGGUGCAUCACGCUGCAUGACAUGGCAAUAUGCAGUGCUAGGGAUGAGCUAACACGGUACUACACGUCAUGGACGGAGCAGGAAAUUAUCUAACGAUAUUUCCCAGGUGUGUGGCUACUACCUGACAUGUGAUCCUGGCGCCAAAAUGUCCAUAUUCAUCGUACUAGGAUCUUGUGACAAAUGAACGGACUACGUAUUUGGAUUCGUGGUAUUUUUCUGAGCAACUUUCAUAUAUAAAUUAUUUUCAUCUGACUUAUAGAUUAUUUUGUAUUAAUUUUUAAAGUUUUAAUAAUAUUUUUGAAUUAAUUUAUAUUUAUUUUAGAUCAAAAAAUGACUUAUUGCAUCAGAAUGACAUCAAAGUGAUGUUAGCAUCCAACCCAGUUGUCUGAGAUCAAACCCGAGAGCUUGGCCCCACCUGUUAUACAUAGUGGCUAAUUCUAAACUUAAAUUAACAUAUUUAACUAAUCUAAUUAACACGACCCACCUAUGAGUGUUUGUAGUGCAAAUUAAUUGUUUUAAUUAAUUUAACAGAUUAGUUAGUACCUAAUUAAACCUGGGCCCUCGUGUGAGUGGCCUAGGGGGUGGCCCACUAGUCAGCCACUAGGGCUGCCCACAAAAACUACCCCUCCGUUCCUAAAUAUAAGUUUUUUAAUAUAUUUCACUAAUAGUCUACAUACGGAACAAAAAAAAUGAAUCUACACUCUAAAAUAUGUCUAUAUAGAUCCGUAUGUAGUUCAUUAAUGAAACUUCUUUAAAGACUUAUAUUUAGGAACGGAGGGAGUAGUCAACUAGGGACAGGGGGCGCAGGUUAGUGACCCUGGGGGUGGACCUGGUCCAACCUCAUCUGCGGGUGGUGCCGAAGUUGCUCCAGCGAGCCAAACAACGCGGCGGAGGCACGGGAGGGAGCGAAAAUCGUCCAUCGGGGGCCAUUUCACGCGCGGAGGGUCGUGAUCAAUCGAGGUGGACGAGCCACGUCGAUCUGCAGCGGUGGCACGAGCUGGGGUGGCCGGAGGCGAGCACAACAUCGAUGGCAGCGGCGGCGGUGCUCGGGCGUAGGCGGGGAUGGAGCUGCGGGGCACGGCAAGGGUCGUUGCAUGGCGUGUCAACUUGCUAGGAACGUGUUGAACACGUUACCGUGCUCGGAAUCUCGGAUGCGAGCUCCACCGGUGAUGGUUGUGGCAAUGGUGGGCACGGACGGUGGCGGGCUCCAUCGGCGUCGGCUACGGCAAUGGCGGGCACGGGCCCCAGCUAAAAAUCGAGAAAGGGGAGGAGGGCGAAGUGGUCGGGGGCUUACAACGGUCUCGUAGUUGAGCA